rnacentral:lncRNA from 1 species
GAUGGGAUGGUUUAAUUUAAGCGCAUUUGUAGCCGGGCGGGACGGCGCAGCCGCAGUUGAGGAGCACCUCGAGCGCGAUGGGCACGUAGACGGAGAGGUCCAGCACCUUGGCCUUGAGGGCGGUGCACAGGCACGCGGCCGCGGAGAGGCCGGCGACGCCCUUCACGAGCGGGCAGCACUUGACGUUGGCGUCGCCGACGUGCACCUCGUUCCCGAGGAUGUCCACGCACGCGCCGAGCUUCAGCGCGUCGAUGGGGCACUUGUCCGACGACGGCGCCGGCGUCGGGGUCGGUGGUGUCGGGGGCGGCGGGCACCCCUUCCGGCCUCCGGGCGUCAACGGCGGGAGGGGGACUGACGGCAGGGGGACCGACGGAAUGGGGACCGUCGGGAUGGCGACUG